GAGUUCCAGUUGAACGAGAGGCAGUGUCUAGUGGUUGCUGUGAGACAUGCAGUUUGAGAGUGUGUGUUACCACAAGAAAGCCUUAAACCUGCUCAAUCUUACCCCUGUUGCUCUGGGCAUAGCCUCGACACCGGAGAACCCAGGCGAGCUCUGCGACCGAUGUGGCCGGAGUUGACCAAGGUGUGGUCCGAGUUCCAGUUGAAGGAGAGGCAGUGUCUAGUGGUUGCUGUGAGACAUGCAGUUUGAGAGUGUGUGUUACCACAAGAAAGCCUUAAACCUGCUCAAUCUUACCCCUGUUGCUCUGGGCAUAGCCUCGACACCGGAGAACCCAGGCGAGCUCUGCGACCGAUGUGGCCGGAGUUGACCAAGGUGUGGUCCGAGUUCCAGUUGAAGGAGAGGCAGUGUCUAGCGGUUGCUGUGAAACAUGCAGUUUGAGAGUGUGUGUUACCACAAGAAAGCCUUAAACCUGCUCAAUCUUACCCCUGUUGCUCUGGGCAUAGCCUCCACACCGGAGAACCCAGGCGAGCUCUGCGACCGAUGUGGCCGGAGUUGACCAAGGUGUGGUCCGAGUUCCAGUUGAAGGAAAGGCAGUGUCUAGCGGUUGCUGUGAGACAUCCUGUUUGAGAGUGUGUUACCACAAGAAAGCUUUGAACCUGCUCAGUCUUACCCCUGUUGCUCUGGGCACAUUCUCGACACCGGAGAACCCAGGCGAGCUCUGCGACCGAUGUGGCCGGAGUUGACCUAGGUGGGGUCCGAGUUCCAGUUGAAGGAAAGCCAGUGUCUAGCGGUUGCUGUGAGACAUCCUGUUUGAGAGUGUGUUACCACAAGAAAGCUUUGAACCUGCUCAGUCUUACCCCUGUUGCUCUGGGCACAUUCUCGACACCGGAAAACCCAGGCGAGCUCCGUGACCGAUGU